GGGGGGGGGGGGGGGGGGGGCGGGUGCAGGCGGGGCGGGCGGACGGACGAGGAGCGUGCGUCUCUGAUGUUAGCGGCGGACGGGGGAGUAACACGUGGAUAACCUACCUAUAAGACUGGGGUAACUUCGGGAAACCGGAGCUACUACCGGAUGAUAUUUUGAACCGCAUGGUUCAACAGUGAAAGACGGUCUUGCUGUCACUUAUAGAUGGAUCCGCGCUGCAUUAGCUAGUUGGUAAGGUAACGGCUUCCCAAGGCAACGAUGCAUAGCCGACCUGAGAGGGUGAUCGGCCACACUGGAACUGAGACACGGUCCAGACUCCUACGGGAGGCAGCAGUAGGGAAUCUUCCGCAAUGGGCGAAAGCCUGACGGAGCAACGCCGCGUGAGUGAUGAAGGUCUUCGGAUCGUAAAACUCUGUUAUUAGGGAAGAACAUAUGUGUAAGUAACUGUGCACAUCUUGACGGUACCUAAUCAGAAAGCCACGGCUAACUACGUG
rnacentral:rRNA from 1 species